rnacentral:rRNA from 1 species
GACGAACGCUGGCGGCGUGCCUAACACAUGCAAGUCGAACGGAGAUACUUUUGAGGAGACUUCGGUCAACGAGACUGUAUCUUAGUGGCGGACGGGUGAGUAACGCGUGAGCAAUCUGCCUUUCAGAGGGGGAUAACAUUCUGAAAAGAAUGCUAAUACCGCAUAACGUACCGAGAUGGCAUCAUCAUGGUACCAAAGGAGCAAUCCGCUGAAAGAUGAGCUCGCGUCUGAUUAGAUAGUUGGUGGGGUAACGGCCUACCAAGUCGACGAUCAGUAGCCGGACUGAGAGGUUGAACGGCCACAUUGGGACUGAGACACGGCCCAGACUCCUACGGGAGGCAGCAGUGGGGAAUAUUGCACAAUGGGCGCAAGCCUGAUGCAGCAACGCCGCGUGAGGGAAGACGGUCUUCGGAUUGUAAACCUCUGUCCUUGGUGAAGGAAUAAAUGACGGUAGCCUU